ACACCGUUAAACUCUCAAACACACCACAUCGGCCAUUAAAAUUGUCAAUUUUGGGAUCUUUUGAUCACUAGUCAAAUGAUGUCAAAAAAAAUCUGAAAUUUAGUUUCCAAAUACUUUCAAUAGUGUAGAUCAAGUCUAACGGAGCCGAUCGUCGAUUUGGAAGCCGCAUCAUCGAAAACAACUUGGUAGCACGGAGCGCUCCAUGCUACCGAUAGCAUAGUAGCCGGACUCUCUCUCUCUCUCUCUCUCUCUCUCUCUCUCUCUCUCUCUAUAUAUAUAUAUAUAUAUAUAGAUAGAUACACACGACUCCCAUACUUUCAAAAGUACGGAGGUCUCCGUGCUUGUAAGUUGUUUUUGAUAAUCGGAUAUUUGAUUCAACGAUCAGCUUCGUUAAACAUAAUCUACAUUAUUGAAACUAUCUAGAAACCAAAUUUCAUAAUUUUUUGACAUCAUUUACCAAGCGAUCAGAGGUUCUCAAAAAUGACUAUUUGAACGGCCGAUGUGGCACAUUUUCAAGUUCAACGGUGUAGAAGUAUCCAAAUUACAUGAAAAUUUAAUAAAAAAUUCUACUUGACAUCAAGAGUAAAAACAAUACUUCCAAUUUGAAAUUUGAGUCUUUUAUCACUAUUUUUUAUAAGUUUUUUAUUUUUAGCCGUUCAUUUUGAGCAUACUCGUUUACUAGGCAAAUGAAGUCAAAAAAUUAUGAAAUUUGGUUUCUAAAUAGUUAUAACAGUAU
rnacentral:lncRNA from 1 species